rnacentral:rRNA from 1 species
GACUACAUGAAGCUGGAAUCGCUAGUAAUCGCAGGUCAGCAUACUGCGGUGAAUACGUUCCCGGGUCUUGUACACACCGCCCGUCACACCAUGGGAGCCGGAAAUGCCCGAAGCCAGUGACCCAACCUUAGGGAGGGAGCUGUCGAAGGUGGAGCCGGUAACUGGGGUGAAGUCGUAACAAGGUAAC